rnacentral:rRNA from 1 species
UACGUAGGGCGCAAGCGUUGUCCGGAAUUAUUGGGCGUAAAGAGCUCGUAGGCGGUGUGUCGCGUCGGAUGUGAAAGCCCGGGGCUUAACCCCGGGUCUGCAUUCGAUACGGGCAGACUGGAGUGUGGUAGGGGAGAUCGGAAUUCCUGGUGUAGCGGUGAAAUGCGCAGAUAUCAGGAGGAACACCGGUGGCGAAGGCGGGUCUCUGGGCAGUAACUGACGCUGAGGAGCGAAAGCGUGGGGAGCGAACAGG